rnacentral:rRNA from 1 species
GACGUAGGGAGCGAGCGUUGUCCGGAUUCAUUGGGCGUAAAGAGCGCGCAGGCGGCUUGGUAAGUCGGAUGUGAAAACCCGGAGCUCAACUCCGGGCGUGCAUCCGAUACUGCCCGGCUAGAGGUAGGUAGGGGAGAUCGGAAUUCCUGGUGUAGCGGUGGAAUGCGCAGAUAUCAGGAGGAACACCGGUGGCGAAGGCGGAUCUCUGGGCCUUACCUGACGCUCAGGCGCGAAAGCUAGGGGAGCGAACGGG